AUUAUCAAUAGAUUAAGGAAUAGCCAUGACCACAAAGGUGGUUUUCCCUGGGUGAGGCUCAUCCAUGGCACUUCAGGUGGGCUGACCACUACAAUUUCCCCAAUUCAGGACACUCAACCCUAUAAUUUGUGGUUAAUGGUGUGUGUGUGUGUGUGUGUGUGUG